rnacentral:lncRNA from 1 species
GUGAAGAUUUGGAUUUGAUAUCACAGAUCCAGUGCUCAGUGGUAUUGUCCCGCCAAGUGAAAGAGGUAGGCCCGAGCAAGGAAAAAUCAAAAUAAGAUCUCCAGGUCCUACACGACCACCACCACCAUCUCAGCGCCUCCCUCUGGCGGCCUGCAGAAUGGAGAGAAGGUGGAGAAAAUGGCCCUCUACUCAGAAGAAGACAUUCGUCCUGAAAUGAAAGAUGACUUUCGCGACCCCAACUAUGAGGAUGAGGAGGGUCCUGUGCCCAAGCUGGAGUUUGUCUGGAGAAACGUCAUUCUGAUGGCUCUGCUGCAUGUGUCAGCCCUGUACGGGUUAACACUAGUUCCCACCUGCAAGUUCUAUACCUGGCUGUGGGUGUUUUUCUACCUCGUGACCAGUGUCCUGGGCAUCACAGCAGGAGUUCAUCGCCUGUUGAGUCACCGAACUUACAAAGCCAGGCUGCCUCUGAAGAUCUUCCUGAUCAUCGCCAUCACAAGGGUGUUCCAGGUGAGAAGUUGGCACUGCACGGCUCUAUUAUCUC